rnacentral:snRNA from 1 species
GCCCGGGCGGAGCGGCCGUCGG